GGAGCAACACAGAGCCUGGGCGAUGUUGGCGCUCUGUCAUACUUCCGAUCACGUGAGGCAAACGGAAUCGGCGUUUGUCACGUGGCCCCAUCUGGGCUCGUUUUAAUUGGGAGGAAUUCAGUUCCUCCUCCUGUUCCUUUUGUGGGUGUGCGCGAGGGAGCUGGGGAGCGGUCAGCGGCCCACGAGGUAAUGAGGAUAGAGUCAGCAGUUACAAUUUGUUUCUGAUGGGUAUUGCAAGUUUCCUGUCUGGAGUCUGCUAUGCUAUUCCUUUGUAACCAGCAAGCUGUCAUGUGAACUGUUAAAUAAAUAAGGCUAUGAGCAUUGGCCUCGGAUUUUGUUGCUCUGUGCAGAAAUCCCUGUAUCCUGAGAUGGGCUUUCAAAUGCUGCUUACCUGAAGCCUGACAGCUCUCACCUGAACUGCUGAGCCAGUAAGAUGUUGUUUCACUUCUUCUCUUAAGAACAAGAAUUUACUCAACCAUGGUGUUAAAUAUAUGUUGUCUAAUGUGCAGUUAACUUGCAGCUGCCAAGAAGUCAUACAGUUUUCAAGGGCAGGCACCAGCGAAGGAAGCAGGUGCCGCAACAGUCCGUUGGGGCAGCAUGUCCGGGUCAGCGGCGGCAAUUCGGCGACAGGUACUUCGGCAGCAGCUCAAUCGCUCCUCUUCAGAUUUCAGCGUGCCAGAGGGAUCUGCAAGGUGCUCAUUGCAGGAUCAGGACUCAUGACAGGAAAUUCUCAGUAUCCAAGUCCACAGAUUCUUCACUGGAUCUUCAGGUCCCCUACAAACUUGAGGAGGUGGAACCAGACCAGUCAGUCAUCAUGGACCUAGAGUUAAGCUCUGCAGCAGAAGUGCCUAUUUCCUAUUCUCCUCUGCAUCCAGAUCCACAGAUCCCACAGUAUGAUUUUCACAGGAUGCAGCACAAUCAGGAAAAGUGACUUAGUCUAAACACUCAUAAAUAUUUACAAAUUUUUUAAUUUAAAAAAAUAUAUUUUUACUAAGACCUUACACAUGUAGCACCUUCCAGCUAAAUGUGGUUUAGACUGAAGAUUGCUAGUCCAGUUUGUACAUCUGUCUAGUUUGCUUCCUUCCAUCUCAUCUCCACAGAAAUUCAUUGUGAUGGAAUCCACCCGUGUUCAAACCUCACACACUAUUGUAAUAAUCUUUGUAUAAGGAAUGCCUCAUGUAGUCUCAUUAGAAAACUCGUAAUUUGAUGAUCAGUGAUAUGGUAAAAUGUGUGUAGCAACUUUAUGCAUUAAGUUAUAAAUUUUCUCUGCUUGAUGGUAAAAAUACACGUGCAGACUCACGUAUCACCAAACUGGUCAAACAGAUGUGUUUUGAACAAAGUGUAUGCUUCUCUUAAUUGGCAUUAACACAGUAAACAGAGUCAUCAACCAGAAAAGGGGAAAGGAGAAAACAGAGAGCUCACACAGUGAAAAAGCCCAGCAGGGAACAGCCUUCCACCAGUAGACUGCCUGUCUCCUGGUUCUCAGCUGGAAAUGCUUUUCAAAGAGGGACUAAAACACUAUAAAAAGGCAGGGCAAACACUCCAAUACACCCCUCUCUUCCCCUGCCCGAUGUAUUCUCUGCACCUUAAAAGGCAACGGCAACAACUGUUGGAUGUUAGCAGCAGUGUUCUGAUCUGAAGAGUUUGGUCAGUAAUGCUGCUGGAAGUAUAUGUUGAGAAACUAUGCUUGAAUCUAAUAUAGUUUAUUAAAUUAAGCAUUAGAAAGUGUUUUAUCUUUAUUUUUCUUGUAAUAAUUUCUGA